GGGGAUGUAGCUCAGUGGGAGAGCGCUUGCUUUGCAUGUAAGAGGUCCUGGGUUCAAGCCCCAGCAUCUCCA
rnacentral:tRNA from 1 species